ACUACGGGGGGCAGCAGUGAGGAAUAUUGGGCAAUGGGCGAGAGCCUGAAGCAGCGAAGUCGCGUGAGGGAGUACUGCCCUAUGGGUUGUAAGCCUCUUUUGUCGGGGAGCAAAAGCCGGACGUGUCCGGCUGUGAGAGUACCCGAAGAAAAAGCAGCGGCUAACUCCGUGCCAGCAGCCGCGGUAAUACGGGGGAGGCGAGCGUUAUCGGUGUUUAUUGGGGUUAAAGGGUGCGCAGGCGGAUUUUUAAGUCAGCGGUCAAAGCGUGGGGCUAAACCCCAUCCAGCCAGUGAAACUGGGGAUCUAGAGUGUGAGAGAGGUAUGCGGAAUGCGUGGUGUAGCGGUGAAAUGCAUAGAUAUCACGAAGAACCCCGAUUGCGAAGGCAGCAUACUGGUGCACAACUGACGCUCAGGCACGAAAGCGUGGGUAUCGAACAGGAUUAGAUACCCCUGUAGUC
rnacentral:rRNA from 1 species